UACGUAUAUUAGCUAUUUACCC
rnacentral:siRNA from 1 species